rnacentral:rRNA from 1 species
AGAGUAUAAUCGCAAGAUUGAAAUUCAAAGGAAUUGACGGGAGUCUACACAAGCGGUGGAGCAUGUGGUUUAAUUCGAUAAUACGCGCAGAACCUUACCAAUUCUUGUAAAUAUUUUUAAAAAAUUAUUUUAAAAAGUACAGGCGUUGCAUGGCUGUCGUCAGCUCGUGUUGUGAGAUGUUUGGUUUAUUCCCUUAACGAGCGAAACCCCUAUUUUUAGUUGCUAAUUUAUAUAAAAGAUCAGACACUUUUUAUAAAUGCACUUUAAAAAACGUUAAUGACAUAUUAACAGAGAUGGGGAUUACGUCAAGUCUUCAUGGCCCUUAUGAAUUGGGCUACACACGUGCUACAAUGAUAAAUACAAUGAGAGGCAAUAAUAAUAAAAAAUUGGAGCAAAUCUUUAAAAUUUAUCUUAGUUCGGAUUAUGGGCUGCAACUCGCCCAUAUAAAGUUGGAAUCGCUAGUAAUCGCAAAACAG